rnacentral:rRNA from 1 species
UCAACGAGUCGGGUUGUUUGGGAAUGCAGCCCAAAUCGGGCGGUAGACUCCGUCCAAGGCUAAAUACAGGCGAGAGACCGAUAGCGAACAAGUACCGCGAGGGAAAGAUGAAAAGGACUUUGAAAAGAGAGUCAAAGAGUGCUUGAAAUUGCCGGGAGGGAAGCGGAUGGGGGCCGGCGAUGCGCCCCGGCCGUAUGCGGAACGGCUCUUGCUGGUCCGCCGCUCGGGUCCCUCGGGGCACUGCGCUGCAACGGCCUGCGGGCUCCCCAU